GAAUGUGUAAUGAUGGUUCGUCACCUCUGCUAAUGUGUGAAUGACAUGAGGAAGCUUGUACAAGAAUGAAGCAUUCACACCAGAUCUCUCCGGAGCAACAGUGUAGAUGAAUCCAUUUCCUCUACGGGAUCUCAAUCCAGGGCUGAGUUUCCCAUGCCCUCUAGUGCAGUUUCAUUGGGAGAUGGAGAGGGUUUAAGCAGACUAAACUGACCUAUUUGCACUUGGCCACAUCAUGAUAUAUUGAUUAUAAAAAGUAACCAGGUGUAAAUGCCCUCUGAAAUACAUUCAGGAUGGAUUGCAAUCUACUGGAAGAGGUUUGAGAUUCAUUCCAGCCAAGACUGUGCAAGUGAAAAAGCAUCUGAUUAAGUCGUAUAUGCCAUUUUUACAUAUUUUUGAAGUGUAAAUAGAACAGUUUUUACAAAUCAGAUAACAAAACAGAUCUGAGAAAAUGCAUUCAAGUGUCAAUAGGCCCAGUGACUGGUGAAGGCCAGCAAACUUCACGCCAAACAAGAUGCUUUAAAAAAUAGAUAUGGUGAGUUUUACAUUUAAUGACAACUUUAAAAUUAAUUUCUGUAAUUAAUUUUGAUUUCAAGCCCUUGUGUUUAACAGUAUGAACUGAAUGAAGUGAUUUAUCAUGAGCAGUCCUGCUAAUUGCCUAGACAGGGUACAACUAUUUGAGUCCACCUGUGUUCAGUUGCAUCAUUAAUUCCAGUUUGAGAGUUUUGCUCGGUUGAGCUUUUAUAACUGAAAUAGAAGCACACAUUAAUCCUGCUGUCUGUAGAGCUGAAUUUGUAAGAAAAAAAAAAAAAAGAGAAAGAAAGCUUGCAGAA